rnacentral:rRNA from 1 species
AGCGAACGUUAGCGGCGGGUUUAACACAUGCAAGUCGAGCGAGAAAGGGGCUUCGGCCCUGAGUACAGCGGCGGACGGGUGAAUAACACGUAGGUAACCUUCCUUCCAGCGGGGGACAACGGUCCGAAAGGACCGCUAAUACCGCAUACGUUCCCUGGGACCCUGGUCCCGGGGAGGAAAGCUCCGCAAGGGGCACUGGAUGAGGGGCCUGCGUAGCAUCAGCUAGUUGGUGGGGUAAUGGCCUACCAAGGCUAAGACGCUUAGCUGGUCUGAGAGGAUGAUCAGCCACACUGGGACUGAGACACGGCCCAGACUCCUACGGGAGGCAGCAGUGGGGAAUAUUGGACAAUGGGCGCAAGCCUGAUCCAGCCACGCCGCGUGAGUGAUGAAGGCC